rnacentral:lncRNA from 1 species
CAAUUAGGCACUUUUUAUUGCCCACGCUGUCAUAAUCCUCAGAGCUUGGCUAGGAUGAAGGAGAGGAAAUAGGAUAGGAUGGAAUUCCAAGAUGCCUUUAGAGUUCAUCCCAGCCAUUCCCCUGCUUCUAGAUGGGAAAGUUCAAAUACCAUCCACAAGAACUUUCCUCCAAGUGAGGCCCUUAGCCCUGGAAGUCAAUAGGCCUUUGCAUCUAUUGCAUCUAACAAGAAUCCUUCAACCUCAUAGAGGGGUUUUCUCCUGUCCUUUGCUCCAGCGACUCAGGGAAGAGGAAUCUUAUUUGUGUUUUUUCCCAGGACACGGUGGGUGGGGAGCUAGGCUCAUGCAGUCGUGAAGACCUCUGGUACCACCUGGAUGGUGGCAUUAGGGAUCAGGGAACUACUGAUUUUUCAAGUGCAAUCUGACUCCUCUCUCAGACUAGCAAUUCCCAGAGGACAGAGGUCUUGUCUCCUCCCUCAGACUGAAAGCUCCUGGAGAAACUGCCUUCCCUCACUUCCCUCUCUUGUCCCCUGCCCCUUCUCUCAGUUGCCCAGCGCAGAGCUUUGUCCACAGAGGGCCACUCCUGCUGUGCAUAGAACCUUGACUGUGUCGGUGACUCAGAGGGGGUUGCAAUCUGAUUGGGAAGUGCUACCGUGGUCUGUCGGUGCCUCCAUUUCCUCUUGUGUAGAAUGGAGUUGUAAUGAAGAUUAAAAAUUUUUUUUUUUUUUGAGAUGGAGUCUCGCUCUGUUGCCCAGGCUGAAGUGCAGUGGUGCGAUCUCGGCUCACUGCAAGCUCCACCUCCCGGGUUCACGCCAUUCUCCUGCCUCAGCCUCCCGAGUAGCUGGGACUGCAGGCGCCCGCCACCACGCCCGGCUAAUUUUUUGUAUUUUUAGUAGAGACGGGGUUUCACCAUGAUAGCCAGGAUGGUCUUGAUCUCCUGACCUCGUGAUUCGCCUGCCUCAGCCUUCCAAAGUGCUGGGAUUACAGGUGUGAGCCACCACGCCCAGCCAUGAAGAUUAAAUUUUUAAAAAGCAUGUGCCUGGCUCGUGGUAAGGGCUCAGUAAAUGAGAGCUUUUAUUGCCUUCAGGACAGCUGGCGCCCCUCCUAGCUUUCUGCUUAUCAGAAAUCAGGAUGGGGAGAUCCAGCAGCCUAAGCUUAGAAAGGUAGCCUUCAAAAUGAGAAUCACAGAAGCCAGCCAGCCUAGCAGCCCUAUGCGGGUCUCGGGCUGAGACCCUGGUGGACAAGUGAAGUCCAUUAUCUCCAGGAGGUAGCAAGGAGAUCAGUAGUCAGCAUGGGCAACCUCAGAGAUCUUCAGCAGACAGGAUGGCAACGAAGAUGGAUUUCAAGUUAGGACCCAACUGCCAAGGCAGGGCAGAGCAGACAAGGGAGAGUACAUUUCGUUGCUUCAUAACACCUGGGAGGGGUAUGGUGGUUCCUUUUCCAGGGUGGUGGUGGUCUUAAACCUAAAAGAGAUGUUCAUCAGCAUGCUGGGGGGUUGGGGCAGAGGCUGGGGGAGGGAUGCAGUGACUUUUCCAAGAUCACGGAUUCCAUAAUCACCUGAAAGAAGGGGAAGGGACAGAGAGAGGUGAAAAACACACCCAGGCUGAGCAAACAUCCACCUUCCCUGUCUUUUUUUUUUUUUUUUCUUUUUCUGAGGCUGAGUUUCACUCAGUCGCCGAGGCUGGAGUGCAGUGGCAUGAUCUCAGCUCACUGCAAUCUCCACCUCCUGGGUUCAAGCAAUUUUCUUGCCUCAGCCUCCCGAGCAGCUGGGAUUACAGGCGCACGCCACUAUGCUGGCUAAUUUUUUGUGUUUUUACUAGAGACGGGGUUUCACCAUGUUGGCCAGGCUGGUCUCGAACUCCUGACCUCAUGUGAUCCGUCCGCCUCGGCCUCCCAAAGUGCUGGGAUUACAGAUGUGAGCCAACGCACCCGGCUACACCUUCCCUGUCAUGGGCAGACAUACACCCCUGGGUUCAGAGUGUGUUCGUGCAUGGAUGGAUUCAGGGCACAGAAGGGGACCUAGAGGUUAGCAGCUGCUGUGAGGAAAAGGAGACAUUGUCUCCCCAGUUGGUUCUGUCCUGAGUAAGCACCCUGGAUGAGGCUGAGCAGGUGACACCUGGCAUGGAGCCAGGCCCUCAGGCGAGCAGGGUGGGCAAGUGGGAGGAGGGGAAGUGCAACAGGACUUUAUAAGAGAUGAGGCGGACCCCUGCAGCCUUCUGCCUUGGGCCUCCAAGGAAGGAGCAAGUGCGAAUGGGGAGGUGGGGCAGGAGGAGGGAUUCUGAAGCUCUCUGGAAAAUCCCUAGUGUGGGGGAGAAUAACUCACUCUUCUUUUUCUCAGCAUGGACUUAAUAAGUCAUGUCCCAGCCUGGGCAACAUAGCAAGACCCUGUCUCUACAAAAAAAAAAUAUAAAAAUUAUCUGGUGUGGUGGCACGUGCUUCUAGUCCUAGCUACUCAGAAGACUGAGGCUGGAGGAUCGCUUGAGCCCAGGAGUUUGAGGAUGCAGUGAGCUAUGGUCAUACCACUGCACUGCAGCCUGAGCAACAGAGUGAGAUCCCAACUCAAUAAAUAAAUAAAUAAAAUAAAAUCAUGUUCACUGCUAAAUAUAUACAAUUGUAAUUGGCCAACUAAACAAAAAAUAAGCUGGGCGCAGUGGCUCACGCCUCUAAUCCUGGCACUUUAGGAGGCUGAGGUGGGAGGAUCACUUGAACUCAGGAGUUCAAGACCAGCCUGGGCAACACAGGAUGACCCCAUCUUUACAUUUUUUUUUUUUAAACUAGCUGGGUGUGGUGGUGUGCGCUUGUAGUACCAGCUAUUUGGAUGGCUGAGAUGGGAGGAUUGUUUGAGCCCUGGAGGUUGAGGCUGCAGUGAGCUGGGAUCACACCACUGCACUCCAGCCUGGGUGACAGAGAGAGACCCUGUCUCAAAACAAAC